UACGUAGGGUGCGAGCGUUGUCCGGAAUUAUUGGGCGUAAAGAGCUCGUAGGCGGUCUGUCGCGUCGAUCGUGAAAACUUGGGGCUUAACCCUGGACCUGCAUUCGAUACGGGCGGACUAGAGUUCGGUAGGGGAGACUGGAAUUCCUGGUGUAGCGGUGAAAUGCGCAGAUAUCAGGAAGAACACCCGUGGCGAAAGCGGCUCUCUGGAACGGUACUGACGCUGAGGAGCGAAAGCGUGGGGAGCGAACAGG
rnacentral:rRNA from 1 species